AGGGUUGAGUCCUAGAUUGGGUACUUAGUCAUCUGCACUCGGAGCAGCUGUUCACAUCUACUAAGACACAGCAGUUUUCAUCCUUAGGUUGGACAGUGUGCUGUUUGGGCAUGCAGCUGUGGUAAGCAACAGGAAUGACAUGUAAAAAAACCUCGCAGAGCAGAAGUCAGUAAAUGCUAAAUUGCAGAUUACUUUCUACUGACAAACACUUUGAAAAGGCUACUUAUUUGAGAGGCAGAAAGGGGACCAACACUGUGGUGUGGUGGGUUAAGCUGCCACUAGGCAAUGCCCUCCAUCCCUUAUUGCUGUGCCAGUUGAGUCUAUUGCUCUGCUUCCAAUUCAGCUUCCUGCUAAGGGAAAGCAGCAGAUGAUGGCCCUAUUUCUUAGGGUUCUGCCACCAAUGUGGGAGACCCAGAAGGAGUUUGUGGCACCAGGCUUUGCCUGGCCCUGACGGCUGUUGCAAUCACUGCGGCAUGAGCCAACAGAGCGCAGAUGUCUGCAUCUUUCCCUCACUCUCUGAGGCUCUGCCCUUCGGGUAGAUAGAUAAAAUAGAAGUAUUUCUUUAAAAGAGAGACAGAGAUCUUCCAAGUGUGUUCACUCAUGUUCCCACACCAGGUAAGACUGGGCAGAGAAAGCUAAGAAGCCAGAGCCGGGGCUUCCUUGUGGGUGUCCAGGGCCGAAAUCCUGAGCGAGCACAAGUUUCCCCAGGUCAGCAUUGGGGAUACUGGGAUUGGAUCACAGCCAGAACUUGCACUGUGUCCCAAGUGGCAGCUUAAUUACUGCACCAAGUGUGUGCCUCUGAUCAAGUGGACUGUUGGACAGUAGGAGGUGAGUACACAGGAUCUGUUAGACAGUAGGAGGUGUGUACACAGGAUCUGUUGGACAGUAGGAGGUGAGUACACAGGAUCUGUUAGACAGUAGGAGGUGUGUACACAGGAUCUGUUAGACAGUAGGAGGUGAGUACACAGGAUCUGUUAGACAGUAGGAGGUGUGUACACAGGAUCUGUAGACAGUAGGAGGUGUGUACACAGGAUCUGUUAGACAAUAGGAGGUAUGCACACAGAAUCUGUUAGACAGUAGGAGGUGA